CACUGCUCUAAGGGACCCCAACACCAGGUGUGGACGUGCUUCUUCUGCAGGAUGGGGUUGCAGACAGGGCAGAAGCAAAGGAGGCCACACUCCCGCACCCUUGGGGACACUCACUUCUCGGUGCCACGCACUCCCUCCUUAGGUUUUCUCCCAGUCUGAAACGCGUUAGUCCCCACGAAGACGCAGCUCACCCUGCCAUGCCUUUCCAGGAAACGCCACUGUGGGGCGCGCGGCCCACAUAGUGAGUCGCCCACCAGCAAGUCAGGAAGGGGCGGGCGUCUUGGCUCCAGCUCAGUGUUUUCCUCCGCGGAGCGCGGGUCCGGGCCUGACCUGGGCGGUCUCGUUCUCACUCCAGGCUGUUGGCUCGCCCUCCCGGGCCACAUCAGGCGUGCAGGUGUGGCGCCCGCUGAAAAGAGCUUUUGCGGCCGUGGCGGGGCUCGCAAGGAGGAGCCAGCCGGUUCUCCAGUCCUCGGAAGGGCGCCCCCGAUGCUCUCCACCUGCCUGUCCCUCCUGAAAGCAGCCGGACAGCUCCCCGGGCCUCGGCCCUGCUCCCCGCCCUCCCCUCACUGGCCCGGCUGGCUGCGUCGGGGCAGACCCUUCUGCAAGCACGACAGAGAUAAAUGGCUGCAGCUGGAGACUGGGCUAAUUGAUACAAUAAGUUCUGUAAUUGCCUCGAAAAUAAGGUUGCUCUGGCGAGUGCUGGGCACACAGCAGGUGCUCAAUAAGUGCCGAGUUGACUCCAUGCAGGGCCCUCCAGACCAGAACUUGGCUCCCAAAUCAGUGAUUCCUCCCCUGGCUCACAGUACGUGGAGUGGGGGGUAGGGCAUGGGAAGAAGGAGCAGGUCAGGGCUAGCCUGAGUCUCUGGCCUUGACCCUGUGCCUGGAAGCCCCACAACAGGCCCUUGCGUGAGGAGCUGAGCUCUCCAGUAGCGUCUCGGACCUUGAGACUGCAAGUUUAUUUUGAGAUUUGAAGCUCCAAAGUGGCAGAUCCCAGAAAGCCUCUUCUCUGGCUCCGUAUUUGUCCUCUAGUUAAGUGGCUGAGUGCAGCUCUUGCAGUCAGCUGGCUCCUGCAGCCUGGGGUUCCUCCCGGGGAUCUAGGGGCUCAGAAGACAGAGGAAGAAGAGGAAGGAGCAAAGCCCCAUCCUGGGUUGUCCACUCUAGGCCAGAGGUAGCCUCUAGGCAUUGGGGAGAAGUCUUGUCCCCUUAUCCGCUUCCCUCCCUCUUGGAGCUGCUGAUGUUUCUGGGGGCCCCCUCAGCUCAGCAACAUGCUUUCAUAGUUGAAC
rnacentral:lncRNA from 1 species